GAUGAACGUUGGCGGCGUGCCUAAUACAUGCAAGUCGAACGAAGACUGUAGUAAUACUGUCUUAGUGGCGAACGGGUGAGUAACGCGUGGGUGACCUGCCCCGAAGUGUGGGAUAACAGUCCGAAAGGAUUGCUAAUACUGCAUAAUAUCCAAGAGAUUAGAUGCUUUUGGAUUAAAGGAGUAAUUCGCUUCGGGAGGGGCCCGCGUCCCAUCAGCUAGUUGGUAAGGUAAUGGCUUACCAAGGCGAUGACGGGUAGGGGACCUGAGAGGGUGGCCCCCCACAAUGGAACUGAAACACGGUCCAUACACCUACGGGUGGCAGCAGUAGGGAAUAUUAGUAAUGGGCGAAAGCCUGAACUAGCAACGCCGCGUGUGCGAAGAAGGCCUUGGUCGUAAAGCACUUUUUGAGAGGAUGAGGAAGGACGGUAACUCUCAGAAUAAGUACUCGGCUAACUACGUG
rnacentral:rRNA from 1 species